CGUAGGGGGCUAGCGUUGUCCGGAAUCACUGGGCGUAAAGGGUUCGCAGGCGGAAAUGCAAGUCAGGUGUAAAAGGCAGUAGCUUAACUACUGUAAGCAUUUGAAACUGCAUAUCUUGAGAAGAGUAGAGGUAAGUGGAAUUUUUAGUGUAGCGGUGAAAUGCGUAGAUAUUAAAAAGGAAUACCGGUGGCGAAAGGCGACUUACUGGGGCUCAUUCUGACGCUGAGGAACGAAAGCGUGGGUAGCAAACAGGAUU
rnacentral:rRNA from 1 species